CCGAUUGAAGAGCCGUUCGAGACUAGGACGUUGAUAGGCCCCAGGUGUACAGUCAGAAAUGGCAUAGCCGAGGGGUACUAAGGGCUCGAACACUUCUGU
rnacentral:rRNA from 1 species